rnacentral:rRNA from 1 species
AUUGAACGCUGGCGGCAGGCCUAACACAUGCAAGUCGAACGGUAGCACAGAGAGCUUGCUCUCGGGUGACGAGUGGCGGACGGGUGAGUAACGUCUGGGAAACUGCCCGAUGGAGGGGGAUAACUACUGGAAACGGUAGCUAAUACCGCAUAACGUCGCAAGACCAAAGUGGGGGACCUUCGGGCCUCACACCAUCGGAUGUGCCCAGAUGGAAUUAGCUAGUAGGUGGGGUAAUGGCUCACCUAGGCGACGAUCCCUAGCUGGUCUGAGAGGAUGCCCAGCCACACUGGAACUGAGACACGGUCCAGACUCCUACGGGAGGCAGCAGUGGGGAAUAUUGCACAAUGGGCGCAAGCCUGAUGCAGCCAUGCCGCGUGUAUGAAGAAGGCCUUCGGGUUGUAAAGUACUUUCAGCGGGGAGGAAGGCGGUGAAGUUAAUAGCUUCACCGAUUGACGUUACCCGCAGAAGAAGCACCGGCUAACUCCGUGCCAGCCGCCGCCGUAA